rnacentral:rRNA from 1 species
UGGGGAAUAUUGCACAAUGGGGGAAACCCUGAUGCAGCGACGCCGCGUGGAGGAAGAAGGUCUUCGGAUUGUAAACUCCUGUUGUUGAGGAAGAUAAUGACGGUACUCAACAAGGAAGUGACGGCUAACUACGUGCCAGCAGCCGCGGUAAAACGUAGGUCACAAGCGUUGUCCGGAAUUACUGGGUGUAAAGGGAGCGCAGGCGGGAAGACAAGUUGGAAGUGAAAUCUAUGGGCUCAACCCAUAAACUGCUUUCAAAACUGUUUUUCUUGAGUAGUGCAGAGGUAGGCGGAAUUCCCGGUGUAGCGGUGGAAUGCGUAGAUAUCGGGAGGAACACCAGUGGCGAAGGCGGCCUACUGGGCACCAACUGACGCUGAGGCUCGAAAGUGUGGGUAGCAAACAGGAUUAGAUACCCUGGUAGUCCACACCGUAAACGAUGAUUACUAGGUGUUGGAGGAUUGACCCCUUCAGUGCCGCAGUUAACACAAUAAGUAAUCCACCUGGGGAGUACGACCGCAAGGUUGAAACUCAAAGGAAUUGACGGGGGCCCGCACAAGCAGUGGAGUAUGUGGUUUAAUUCGACGCAACGCGAAGAACCUUACCAAGUCUUGACAUCCCUUGACGAACAUAGAAAUAUGUUUUCUCUUCGGAGCAAGGAGACAGGUGGUGCAUGGUUGUCGUCAGCUCGUGUCGUGAGAUGUUGGGUUAAGUCCCGCAACGAGCGCAACCCUUACUGUCAGUUACUACGCAAGAGGACUCUGGCAGGACUGCCGUUGACAAAACGGAGGAAGGUGGGGAUGACGUCAAAUCAUCAUGCCCUUUAUGACUUGGGCUACACACGUACUACAAUGGCGUUAAACAAAGAGAAGCAAGACCGCGAGGUGGAGCAAAACUCAGAAACAACGUCCCAGUUCGGACUGCAGGCUGCAACUCGCCUGCACGAAGUCGGAAUUGCUAGUAAUCGUGGAUCAGCAUGCCACGGUGAAUACGUUCCC